rnacentral:rRNA from 1 species
GACGAACGCUGGCGGCGUGCCUAAUACAUGCAAGUCGAACGCUGAAGGAGGAGCUUGCUCUUCUGGAUGAGUUGCGAACGGGUGAGUAACGCGUAGGUAACCUGCCUGGUAGCGGGGGAUAACUAUUGGAAACGAUAGCUAAUACCGCAUAAGAGUAGAUGUUGCAUGACAUUUGCUUAAAAGGUGCAAUUGCAUCACUACCAGAUGGACCUGCGUUGUAUUAGCUAGUUGGUGGGGUAACGGCUCACCAAGGCGACGAUACAUAGCCGACCUGAGAGGGGGAUCGGCCACACUGGGACUGAGACACGGCCCAGACUCCUACGGGAGGCAGCAGUAGGGAAUCUUCGGCAAUGGACGGAAGUCUGACCGAGCAACGCCGCGUGAGUGAAGAAGGGUUUCGGAUCGUAAAGCUCUGUUGUAAGAGAAGAACGAGUGUGAGAGUGGAAAGUUCACACUGUGACGGUAUCUUACCAGAAAGGGACGGCUAACUACGUG